UGAAACGGUCCACGGUUUAGUCAGUGUGACGCAAGCAGAAGAGGAGGAGGACGCAGCAGCAUCUUCCAUACAGCUUGCCAUCGUCGUGUAUACAGGACACCACGACAUCCAUAGACCGUUGUUAAGAAGGAAAGAUAUCAAAUAAAGACGUUCGUUCGCGACCCAUAGGAUGACAAAAGAGGACACCGCAGAGGUGGAGGAGGCCCAGCCAGCCUCUGAGUACCAUAGCCCAGUUCUGGAGGCCCGGAAGCGGCCCAUGGUCCACCCAUCUGCCCCAGCUCCACUCCCUAAGGACUACGCUUUUACAUUCUUUGAUCCAAAUGACCCGGCCUGCCAGGAGAUCCUCCUUGACCCCCGCACCACCAUCCCAGAGCUCUUUGCCAUUAUCAGACAAUGGGUCCCGCAGGUGCAGCACAAAAUCGACAUCAUUGGCAAUGAGAUCUUGAAGAGAGGUUGCCAUGUCAAUGACCGGGAUGGACUGACAGACAUGACCUUGCUGCACUACAGCUGCAAGGCUGGUGCCCAUGGAGUCGGCGACCCUGCCGCAGCCCUGCGUCUGUCCCAUCAGCUGAUCACCCUCGGCGCUGAUGUGGGCCUGCGCAGCCGGUGGACCAACAUGAAUGCUCUGCACUACGCCGCCUACUUUGAUGUGCCCGAGCUCAUCCGUGUCCUGCUGAAGGCCUCCAAGCCAAGGGUGCUGAACUCCACGUGCAGUGACUUCCACCAUGGGACUGCCCUGCACAUCGCCGCCUCCAACCUGUGCCUGGGAGCGGUCAAGUGUCUGCUGGAACAUGGGGCUAACCCCACUGUCAGGAACGACAAAGGCCAGGGCCCCGCGGAGGUGGUGCCGGACCCCAUGGACAUGAGCCUGGACAAGGCGGAGGCGGCCAUGGUGGCCAAAGAGCUGAAGCAGCUCCUGCUGGAUGCUGUGCCGCUGAGCUGCAACCUGCCGCGUGCCACUCUGCCCAACUACGACAACAUCCCCGGCAACCUGAUGCUGACCUCGCUGGGGCUCAAACUGGGAGACCGCAUCCUGCUGGAUGACAUGAAGCUUUCCCAAAAAUCUUGCAGUGAUGUCUCCUCUUCUCUGCACCAUGCGAAGCAGACUGGAACACUGCGCUUUUGCGGGACAACAGAGUUCGCCAGCGGGCAGUGGGUGGGCGUGGAGCUCGACGAACCCGAGGGCAAAAAUGAUGGGAGUGUUGGAGGGGUGCGCUACUUCAUCUGCCCCCCAAAACUGGGGAUUUUUGCCCCUGUGUCUAAAAUCACCAAAGCCACAGAACAGACCCCCUCUUCCGUCACCUCCACCCCUAAAACCCCACGCAUGGACUUCUCCCGUGUCACCGGUAAAAACAAGAAGGAGAAGAAGGAGAAGGAGAAAGAAAAAGCUCAACGAAAGAAGUCCCUGUCCACUGGGUGCCUGGACCCUGAAGGAGUUAAGAUAGAGUUGGGGGACCAGGUGCUGGUAGCUGGACAGAAGCAAGGAAUUGUACGCUUCUAUGGAAAGACAGACUUUGCUCCAGGAUACUGGUUUGGGGUAGAGCUGGAACAGCCCACUGGGAAACAUGAUGGCUCCGUUUUUGGGGUCCGCUACUUCAGCUGCCUGCCGAAGUAUGGAGUCUUCGCCCCUCCAUCCCGUGUGCAGAGGAUUGGUGGACCCAAAGACUCCCAGAGCGAUGGCACACUGGUGAAGAAAGUUCACCAGGUCACUAUUUAUUCCAGUGUCCCAGCCCAAGCGUAACUUCGCUGCAAUGAGAACACCCAAGGACAUCACGUCGGAGAGCUCCAUAUCCAGGUUACUGUUCUGUUGUUGGUUCCCCUGGAUGCUGCGUGCUGAGAUGCAGUCUUAACCGCACCCUUCCUCCUCCUCAUCUUCCUCCUCUGCCUCCUGGACAGGCCAACUACUCUCUUCCUCUCAGCAUUUGUCCAUCAUUUCUGCUUUUUCUCUGAGAACCAACCAGACUGUUGCUGUCAAUAUAACCGUAGUGAACCACCACCCCCUCGCCCCUCACCUCUCGCCCCCCCAAGCCCCUGUUCGCAAUCCUAUAGCAAAAUCUAGUGCCUUGUAUCUUAACUAACGUCCUGCAUUCCGUUUGUUACACUAACAAAAAAACUUCAAAAAAGAAAAAAAAAAUAGUUGGGGGAACAGUACAAAGAGCAAAUAAUAUAUAGAGAACUCUAAGUUUUAUAAGUUUCCCGUUUGUGAAUUUUUCUUCUUUGGUGUUGACUCUUGAUGUUAAUUGUUGCCAAAAUCAUCUGAACAGUCAGACAAACUAGCAAAAUGCUAACUUAAAAACAUAUAUAGAGAGAGCUUCCAUGAAUAACAGCUCAAAUUAACUGUAAUGCGACCAGGCCUUGCUUCUGAUGUUUCCGUGAGCAUACAUGCUGGUAUUUUUUUUAAUUGCUGUUUCUGAUUUUCCAUGUAUGCGCUUCAAGAUACAAAAACCUGUUUAUGACCACAUUUAUAUUAAUUCCCCUGAGCUUCUCUUAGCAGCAGGUAGAACCUGGCUUGUGCUGUUCCAUACAGAGAUCUGAGCAGGAGUCAAAAAAUGGUGCCCAAAAUUCAAGACACCCUUUGCAUUCAUGGUGUAGAAAACAGCUUUUAUUACACAUUUAGCUCAUUUUACACAUUUUCUUCAGCUUAAUUAAGUUGCUAUAUUAAUAUAAAUAAGCAUUUUCAGCUGUUAUUAUGUCAGGUUCUACCUUUGUGAUGUUUGGCACCUUUAACAAAAUUAUUAUUUUUGCCUUUUUCAGUGACCAGAACAAAAAAAUCUUCAGGAACCCCUAUAACACAGCUACCUAAUAACUUUUUCAACUGAAAUGUAAGUGCAAAUUUUAAUUUCUGUAUGGAUUUAUUUUAAGCCUUAUAAAACAAUCAUUGUUAGGGGGGUCCAUGGAGAAUGGCCAUUCAUGUUUAGACAAAGACAAAUAGUCUUUCUCAGCAGUAAUUUAAUUGUAUAUUAAAUUACACAAAAGAUGAACUUCCUUCCACCAAAUUUCAUGUGAAAAGUUUCAUUUCUGUGUAAAUCUACAUGAAACAGGAAUGAAAUACUCAGCAUGUUAAGCAGCUUUUAUCAGUACAAUCUGCCCACACACACACACACAGUAUUUUUCUGGUAGAUGUGGUGACAAAUCAAUAAAUAUUCCCCCAAGAAUUAAUAUGUUGUCUUUUGCUCUACCAAAAAAUAAAAUAAAAUAAAAAGUUAAAAUAAAAUAAUAAAAAUGUCUGAGUAGCUGUCUGUAUCCUGUCAGUACAUUUGUGAGAGCACCUGGCUUCCCAGCAGACUUGUACAGGCUUACACAUCGCUACACUAUGGUGACAGCAUUAGCUUCGCAGUCUCUAGCCCUUCUGUGACUCAUGAGACUGUACAAUCAGUCGCUUCUUGCCCCAGAAUUGCCACCGGCAUUCUGGCUCUGCAAGUAGCACCCGCCGGUUAUGCAGCGCUACUGUGAGCUCCCUUGUUGCGCACUACCCAUGUUAAGCUUCGGUAGGUCCAGUGAAUAUGUGCUUAGAAAUAAACUCUCUCCUAUUGCCGUCAAACGUCUUUAUCACUGUGCUUGUGGAGAAACGGCAAUUCCACCUCUGUGUUAACUGGUAUUGUGAACAUUGCUAGUGAACUGAGUACUCACACCAGGCCAGCACACCAGAAGGGAAGGGGAAUCUCAUUCAGACACAUACAUGUAUUGGUGCUGCAGUGAACAACAAAGGUGGGCCUGAAUAUUGGUUUCAAUAUCUGAAUUAGUUCAAUAAUUUUCCUGUAAAAAAAUCACAAGUAGUAGUACUUGUACAGUAGUACGUUUACAGUGCUGCUGUGACAUUGCUAAAAGCAACCCAGUAAAGGUGUGAAAGCUUAAUGUGCAACAUAGGAUAAUACUUCUUAGGGUAAGUGUUACCCCUGAAAGUAGUUCAGCUGGAAAUAUAUGACCAGCUCACCUUUUGAUAGGGGGCUCAGCUGGGCCAGAGGUACCAUUCACGGUUUUUAGGAAACAAGAGGCAGCCAUCUGUAUAAAGAUGAGUCACCUUCAUAUGUCAGAGAGGAUAUUUAAAAUUGUGUACAUUUGUAUUUUUUAAUUUACUUGAAUGUUGGCUCCUCUAGAUCUUUGUGUGAUAUGUUUCACCGUUAUAAUGAGGGAUUGCUUUCGGCUCCUGUUAAUAUUUUUGUGGUAAACUUGUUCUGUGACACAGAGGUUUCUUGGAGGUUGCCUAGGUGUCCUUUCAUGUUUCAACUGUUACUUUACUGAGCAAAUGACAGGCACUACAUGCAUAAAAUGACUAACUACCAUGUCUAACAUGGAGCAAAUAUUCCUUCCUGGUUUUCUUUCAUUUUGGUCGUAUAUAUAUAUAUAUAUAUAUAUACAUAUAUAUAUAUAUAUAUAUAUAUAUAUAUUGCUGGAAAUACAUAUAUGUCUGAAGCUUUUUUUUAUUUUCUUCUCAAGUAAAGUUUUACAUUUGAGCAAGAAAGGAAUACAAUACCCAAAACAGAUCAUGAACCUGUUACUUGGGUAGAUAAGAUGCCUUCUUAUUCCAAUAAAACAGAAUUUCCACUGCUUUAAUUUUAGAUUUAACCCUAAAUAAUGUUUAAAAUGUGGUACAUCACUUUCAUCACUUGACAGAUCCAUUUCUGAAUGACAGCCUCGGAAUCUUUCAGUAGUCUUUUCCUUCAGCUGUGUAUAUGUCAAAGUUUGAUUGUGUUGGUUUGUACACAGAUUUUUGCUGAAAUAACUGAACAAUAUCUGAAAAGUCAUGGAUUUUAAAAUGUCCUGAUCAUGGUUAUCUGUGAAAUUAUGCUCUUGUUUGUGGUUUCAGGCAAUUGGAUUUUUGUGCUCUGUCAGCAAAUAUAGAUAUAUAUUAAUAACUUCACUAAGUGUACUUUUAAUUUAUUUACCUUUACGUGUCUAUUCUUAUGCCAGUGUAAAUUGGCAAGAUUACAAUUUCCACAUAUUAUUUAUUGAAAUUUUAACUAUCCUCUGUUCAAUAGAAAGAUAGUUUGUGGGGAUUGUACCGUUGAAAUUAGUACUGGUGUCUCUGAAAUUAAUAUUUACUUGUCAAAUACUGCAUGCUCUCAGCAUCUUCUGUCUUUUUUCAAAGGUGUAUUUCAGCAUGAAAAUGCUUACAGUUAUUAAUACUGACUGAAUAAUAAAAGUAACUUUGAUGUGUGUUUUGUAAA